GCAGCUGGGAUAGCUAAAUUGGUUAGAACAUGGUGCUGAUAACACCAAGACUGCAGGUUUGAUUCCCGCACAGGACAGCUGCA
rnacentral:tRNA from 1 species